rnacentral:rRNA from 1 species
AACGAACGCUGGCGGCGUGCUUAACACAUGCAAGUCGAACGUGAUCCGGAGCUUGCUCCGGUGAAAGUGGCGCACGGGUGAGUAACGCGUGGAUAACCUGCCCUGGUAUCUGGGAUAACAUCUCGAAAGGGGUGCUAAUACCGGAUAAGCCCACGGAACCUUCGGGUUCUGAGGGAAAAGGUGGCCUCUGUCUCAAGCUACCGUAUCAGGAUGGGUCCGCGUACCAUUAGCUAGUUGGUAGGGUAAUGGCCUACCAAGGCGACGAUGGUUAGCUGGUCUGAGAGGAUGAUCAGCCACACUGGAACUGAGACACGGUCCAGACUCCUACGGGAGGCAGCAGUGGGGAAUUUUGCGCAAUGGGCUAACGCCUGACGCAGCAACGCCGCGUGGAGGAUGAAGGUCUUUGGAUUGUAAACUCCUGUCAGCAGGGAAAAAGGUACGUGGUAACCCCACGUGCUUGAUUGUACCUGCAGAGGAAGCCCCGGCUAACUCUGUGCCAGCAGCCGCGGUAA